rnacentral:lncRNA from 1 species
CAGCUCCUUUUUGGGGAGGAUGAAAUCUGCCUAAAUUUGAGGUCACAGGAAAAUGGAGAUGCUACCGAGUCUUUAGGAGAUUUACACAGUAUUUAGAAAGCGCUAGUCAAAAAUGGUGGUGUCACUCCGGGGAGCCUUAGCUUACCAGGGGACCCCUGAGUGAACCACACGGAGCUGGGAUCAAUGCAAAAAGCAAGAGGAAUUUAUUGUUUCAGUGCACUGGGGUCGUCCCAGACCCGAAGGAGAGGCGGUGACCCCCAGUACCCAUUCGGUGAGAUUUUAUAUGGUUUCCAGGGGCAGAAUAGAGCAUCAGCAACUAAGCACAAUAUGAUUGGCGGAACAGUACACCCUUAAAACUGAUUGGUCUUUAGGGAAUGAGGUGACAAUGACUUCCCUUGUCUGAAGAUGAGCAAUGGUCAGUCCUGUGGAAUGUGUC